GAGUUUGAUUCUGGCUCAGGAUUAACGCUGGCGGCAUGCCUAACACAUGCAAGUCGAACGGAGAUAGCAAUAUCUUAGUGGCGAACGGGUGAGUAACGCGUGAGUAAUCUGCCCUGCAUUACGGGAUAACACAAAGAAAUUUGUGCUAAUACGGUAUGAAACAUAGCAUCGCAUGAUGCAAUGUUAAAAGAUUUAUCGAUGCAGGAUGAGCUCGCGUCCCAUUAGCUAGUUGGUGAGAUAACAGCCCACCAAGGCAACGAUGGGUAGCCGGUCUGAGAGGAUGAACGGCCACAUUGGGACUGAGACACGGCCCAGACUCCUACGGGAGGCAGCAGUGGGGAAUAUUGGGCAAUGGAGGAAACUCUGACCCAGCAAUGCCGCGUGAAUGAUGAAGGUCUUUUGAUUGUAAAGUUCUUUAGUUUCGAAGGAAUA
rnacentral:rRNA from 1 species